rnacentral:rRNA from 1 species
UACGUAGGGUGCGAGCGUUGCCCGGAUUUAUUGGGCGUAAAGGGCGCGUAGGCGGCUCAGCACGUCCGUUGUGAAAUCGCCCGGCUCAACUGGGCGGGGUCAGCGGAUACGGCUGAGCUUGAGCAAGCUAGGGGGCAAUGGAAUUCCCGGUGUAGUGGUGGAAUGCGUGGAUAUCGGGAGGAACACCAGUGGCGAAGGCGGUUGCCUGGGGCUUUGCUGACGCUGAGGCGCGAAAAGCGUGGGGGAGCGAUCCGGG